rfam:Aspergillus carbonarius ITEM 5010 unplaced genomic scaffold ASPCAscaffold_7, whole genome shotgun sequence.
GGGGUUAUAGCUCAGUGGUAGAGCGCUCGCUUUGCAUUCCUAUAGCUAAACUGCGAGAGGUCGAGGGUUCGAUCCCCUCUGACUCCA